CUGAACCUAGCCCCUAGACAAAGCACCACUAAAGCUACCCAAUCCUCGAGGCCUCUUGGCCUCCCUCUCCUCUCUCUCCUAACAACGAGUCGUCUCGAUAUCAUGAGCGAUUUCCAAUGCAUCCUCAAAGGUAUGACUCAGAAUCCUUUCUUGGGUCAUCAGAAUACAGACGCGAUAGAUAAGUCCAUCCACAAACCACUUAAUCCUCUCCCGAUAAUUCGGGACCAUCCAUGGAGCAUAACGAGCCAACUCCAAAAAUCUCACCUCAUACCGUGACAGUCAUAUCUCCCUGACGAAGCCACUCAAACUGUCUCCGCAGAUCCUCCCUAUGAGACUGUGGUACCCACUUCUCGAAGAAGAGAGUGGAGAAAUCCUGCCAUGACAAAGGCGCUGCACCUCUCCGCCUACACCGCUCCUAAGCCUCCUGCCGAGUGAAGGAUACUCCAGAAAAUUGAAAAGUAGUAAUUGAUACCGUGCUCGACUCCAAGAUCCCUACGGUCCAAAGCAUAUGUCGACACUUGUCGAGUAAACCCUGGGCAUCCUCACUUGGAACACCACUGAAAGUAGGAGGUGAGAGCCUACUGAACCUCUCAAGACGACGCUGCUCAUUGUUUGACAUAGUUGGAAUCACAUCAUCCUGAACCUGGGCAACCGACUAAACUGGGGCAACUUGCUGAACUGAGGCAACCUGCUAAACUGGUGGUUCCUCUGGUGUCAGCAAACCCUGCACUACCUGCUCAGGUGUGCGAGCAGCGGGAGUCUGAUUGCUUCCCCUGGCCUGCGAAGUAGCUGCUAUAGUAGUGGCUGAGACGGCCUAAGCCAUGUCAGUGCAAACUGAUGGAAUCUGAGCUAGGGCCUCCUGAAGACCCGGAAUCACAAUAGGCACAACUGGUGCCUGAAGAGGUGCUG
rnacentral:lncRNA from 1 species